rnacentral:rRNA from 1 species
UACGGAGGGUGCGAGCGUUAUCCGGAAUUACUGGGUUUAAAGGGUGCGUAGGCGGCCAUGUAAGUCAGGAGUGAAAGUUUGCGGCUCAACCGUAAAAUUGCUUUUGAUACUGCGUGGCUGGAAUCAGGAUGAGGUCAGCGGAAUGUGGCAUGUAGCGGUGAAAUGCAUAGAUAUGCCAUAGAACACCAAUUGCGAAGGCAGCUGGCUAGACCUGUAUUGACGCUGAGGCACGAAAGCGUGGGGAGCGAACAGG